UGUGCCUUCCGAUCUGGGGAAGGAGUCUAAAUCUAUGGACAUUAAUGAACCACCAUUGAUGGACGUUGCACAUGACACGAGAAAUUCGACUCGACGGUCCGGUGCUAAUAGAAGUCGCUUACUCUCCAUCUAGCGAAGGAGCCAGAUCCUUAAAGUAAAGUAUCUAUCAGCCUAGUGUACCAACCACGUGGUACGACGGGCACUCAAAGACCUGGCGAAUGAGGGCCCACCCCACCCAAGAGCGCUUAUGUCAUAUGGGAACUCUCGGCUGGAAACAAUCCUUAUGGUUUUUAUAUCCGGUUAGAAUAAUAAGAAAGAAUCAAAGUCCAGGUUGGUUGGUGAGCCUAGUGAUAGGAGACUAUCUAGCUUGGUUCGGAGAGCACUUGUUGGGUUUCAGAUUCAUUUUUUGCUAAAUGUUACGGCCUAAAUGCUGAACUAUUGACCCUACUUGUUCGGAUGGGUGUUCACCCCAAAGUGUUCCCGGACUCCAUGCAUACAUCCGUAAGUAACUUAGUGCAACAUGGCAAAUUUCAUUGAGAGGAAUCAGCAAA